GGGAUCCCGCGAAGCUGGCCGACUCCUGAGGGGUGGGAUGCUUCAACCUCCAGGGCACAGAGAUUCCGAAACCUCCAGAGGCCUAGAAGGGCCCGAGGGUAAAGUUGAGAGUGGGGAGUCAGUGACACAGUUCCGUCUCCGCUGUGUUCCGAGGAGUGAGUCAGGACCUUUGGAUGAAGGGGUCUGUGGCAUCAUCAUCCCCUGGAACUACCCCUGAUGCUGCUCUCCUGAAAGACGGCUGCCUGCCUGGCCCCGGAAACACAGUGGUGAUCGAGCCUGGCCAGGUUGGUGUGGGCGUGUUCUGGGCAGGGCCUGGGGCUGUAGAGGGUAAGCACCCUAUAAAGGAGGGCCGUAGAGGGUAAACACCCUAUAAAGGAGACAGGUGCCAACCAGGGACUGGUUUCUCCUCAAGGAAGGAGGGGUACUGCUGAUGAGGGCUGGCCUUCUGUGGGCCCCAUUCCUAGUCAGAGGUGGCAGGGACCAGUGGGGGCUGUAGGCAGGGUCUGUUCUUUCUGCGGUAGGGUGGCUGAGUCAGGUUAGCCAACCCUGUACCUAUAGGUGCUUGGUGAGCAGUCAGGGAUUUCUCCACAGGUGCCAGCACUCUGGGUUUGGGGCAGCAGAAACCGUGUUUGGAAACCCUUGUCCAGACCUCAUGCUCUGAGACUGAAGCCCAGCCCCUCAUAGAGAAGCUAUAGAGGUAGGACCUCAGGGUCACUCAGACAGUCUGGAAGGCCUGAGCAGGGUCCCCCUGGGAGGAGGACACCCCCUGAAUGAGCCUCAGCUGCACUGGCAGCCCCUCCCCUGCCUGCCCCCAGUGGUGUUAGGAACUGAAGGCGAGAUGCUCCAUCACAGGGCUCUGGACAGUGUGCCCCGGAGGUCUCUUGCUCCCCUGGCUGCUUUGGGGCAAUUUGGUUCCCAAAGUCUUAUAAUUUAAAAACCAACAAUAACAGCAGUUGACAUUUACAGUAUUCACACUGAGUCAGGAACUCCUGAAGCUUUUUAAUAUAUAACAACUUAUGCUAAAAAUGUGCAUGUGUUUGCCUACUGAGUAUCACAGCAACCCUCUGAGUUCACCCAGGAAGCCACCUGAUGUUUGACCCGGAUUCUACCCCACUGCCUAGCGUAGCCCCAGAAUCUAGAUCAAGCUCUUUGAGAUUUUCUACUGUGCUACCCAACUAUUUUUAAAAGCACAGUCUUGAUUUUCUGGAUUGUGACCUAAUAAACCAUGCUGACAGAUUUUGUUCUCAAAUAGCACAGGAAAGUAUUUUUUUUCAUGUAAUAACAUCUCUUAUUUAUUUUGGUGACAGUUUAUGUUUUGAUGGUUACUAAAGCAAGUAAUCACAAUAGAAUAUACAGAAAAUUAUACAAUAAAGGUCACUUUUUAAAAAGGUUUUAUUUAUUUACUUGACAGGGACACAGUGAGAGAGGGAACACAAGCAGGGGAAGUGGGAGAGGGAGAAGCAGGCUUCCCACUGUCCAUUUUAAUGCUACCAUUCAGAAGCAGCCCCGAUUAGCAUCUUGAUGUAUAUCCUUUUGAACUUUCACUG
ensembl:lincRNA